CAGAAAAAAGCCACAGAGGUAGAUGCAGAGAGACAGACUGACACAUUCAAACAGGAACAGGAGCAGAGAGUGAAACACGACCGCGAAACAAACGUGUCGGAAAGCAAAGAUAGAAACAGGCGGAGAACAAAAGACGCAGCUGCUACCUGGAGCCGGCGAUGCGGACGUAACGCUCGUCAGCGGUUGGACCUCUCCCAGCCCAAAAGGAACCUUGAGAGAUGAAACAAUACAUUGAAUUAUCGUACUGUGAAAUGUCAAAGGAGUUUUCACCUCCCUGUUCUUGCUCUUUCAACCACACCGUCUAAAGUCACAUGUCUCCUCUCCAACUCCGCUGUUAUCAUGAAAUCCAUAACACACAACAAACACACGGCUUCAACCUCAGCAUCCAAUCUUCUUGCUGCAUGUAGGACAGGAGUCAUGCUGCUAUACCGACCGCUGGCUGGCUAUUACAGCAUUUUAAUGUUCCUGUUGGUGGUGUAAACGGGAAAAAUAAAAUGCUAUUGGAGGAGUUCCCCAGAGCAUAGCGACCCUCAGAACAGAGUCCUCCAAACUGUUUGGUGCGACUGCACCUAUUAAAAAGCAUAUUAUGAAAGGCAAUGAGCUGCUAUCGGGACCAAUAGAGUGGGAGAGGCUAAUGGUGUGCAGGUGUUCGCCCCUAUUCUCUUCACAUGUAGGACACCAUAACAACCUGAGAGGGUUACAUUACGGCAGCAGAAUUCCAUUAUUUAAUAUAAAUAAAUAAAUGAAAUCUGUGAAAUCA